UAGGGAAUCUUCGGCAAUGGACGAAAGUCUGACCGAGCAACGCCGCGUGAGUGAAGAAGGUUUUCGGAUCGUAAAACUCUGUUGUUAGAGAAGAACAAGGACGUUAGUAACUGAACGUCCCCUGCCGGUAUCUAACCAGAAAGCGACGGCUAACUACGUGCCAGCAGCCGCGGUAAUACGUAGGUGGCAAGCGUUGUCCGGAUUUAUUGGGCGUAAAGCGAGCGCAGGCGGUUUAUUAAGUCUGAUGUGAAAGCCUCCGGCUCAAGCGGGGAGGGUCAUUGGAUACUGGAAGACCUGACAGCAGAAUAGGAGAGUGGAAUUCCAUGUGUAGCGGUGAAAUGCGUAGAUAUAUGGAGGAACACCAGUGGCGAAGGCGGCUCUCUGGUCUGAAACUGACGCUGAGGCUCGAAAGCGUGGGGAGCAAACAGG
rnacentral:rRNA from 1 species